rnacentral:rRNA from 1 species
GUGAGGAAUAUUGCGCAAUGGAGGCAACUCUGACGCAGCCAUGCCGCGUGCAGGAAGAAGGCGCUACGCGUUGUAAACUGCUUUUAACCGGGAAGAAACCCCAGGACGUGUCCUGGGUUGACGGUACCGGAGGAAUAAGCACCGGCUAACUUCGUGCCAGCAGCCGCGGUAAUACGAAGGGUGCAAGCGUUAUCCGGAUUCAUUGGGCUUAAAGGGUGCGUAGGCGGAGCGUUAAGUCAGUGGUGAAAUCCUGCAGCUUAACUGUAGACUUGCCAUUGAUACUGGCGCUCUUGAGUGCGCUUGAAGUGGGCGGAAUGUGCCGUGUAGCGGUGAAAUGCUUAGAUAUGGCACAGAACACCAAUUGCGAAGGCAGCUCACUAAGGCGAUACUGACGCUGAGGCACGAAAGCGUGGGGAUCGAACAGGAUUAGAUACCCCAGUAGUCC